rnacentral:rRNA from 2 species
AACGUAGGGGACAAGCGUUAUCCGGAUUUACUGGGCGUAAAGCGCCCGUAGGCGGCCUGUCAAGUUGGAUGUGAAAGCUCCUGGCUUAACUGGGAGAGGUCAUUCAAAACUGACAGGCUAGAGGAUGGAAGAGGAGAGCGGAAUUCCCGGUGUAGUGGUGGAAUGCGUAGAGAUCGGGAGGAACACCAGUGGCGAAAGCGGCUCUCUGGUCCGUACCUGACGCUGAGGGGCGAAAGCGUGGGGAGCGAACGGG